UGGUCGCAUAGCUCAGCUGGGAGAGCACCUGCCUUACAAGCAGGGGGUCACAGGUUCGAUCCCUGUUGCGACCACCAA
rnacentral:tRNA from 1 species